rnacentral:lncRNA from 1 species
CCGCCAUGGCGUUGUACAGGUCCAACAUGAACAUGGGCGCCGAAUUAUGUUUUCCCUGGAGGUGCGGGCGCGGACGAUGGGGCAAGCCCAAGAUGGACAGGAUUUCCCGCUGCAUCUCCCGCCGCUCCUGACUGCGGAGGCGCCGGUGGAUGAAACUGGAGUGCACCUCGUUGUCCAGGCUGAAGUCGGCCAAGGCAGAGCGCAGCAAGAACAGAGGCGCCCAGAGCGCCACGAAGCUGUGUGGCGCCGCAGCGCGCAGCGAGCGCACGUGCAUCGCGCCGGCUCUACGCGCGAUCCGGGGCACCGGGCCCGCGCCGCCCCAGGUGGCAGCGGAGGGGGCAGGGCAGCGGUCCACGACCCGAGGUCACUUGCUGCAGACGAGCUUCACCGUGGCCUCGCCACUCAUGGCCACUCCCUGGCCCGCUGCGCUCUGCCCGAGACGCCCCAGUCCUCUACUCAGUUCUGGCCCGGGGCCCCUCGGCCCGCACUCGCCAGGACGCACCGCAAGGCUAGCACAGCAACUCCAGAGAGAGAGCAAGAGAGCGAGGAGGCGGGCCGGGGUGGGAGGAGCAGCAGUUUGCAGACCUUCAAGUCCGGAGAGCGAGUGCCGGGGAGGCAGCAGGGCGCUGGGCGAACCCUCGCUCCCUCCUCCCACUCUGCUCGCGCUCGGGCCCGCGGGCACCAGCGG